rnacentral:rRNA from 1 species
UACGUAGGGUGCAAGCGUUGUCCGGAAUUAUUGGGCGUAAAGAGCUUGUAGGCGGUUUGUCGCGUCUGCUGUGAAAUUUCGGGGCUCAACCCCGAACUUGCAGUGGGUACGGGCAGACUAGAGUGUGGUAGGGGAGACUGGAAUUCCUGGUGUAGCGGUGAAAUGCGCAGAUAUCAGGAGGAACACCGGUGCGGAAGGCGGAUCUCUGGGCCAUACUGACGCUGAGGAGCGAAAGCUGGGGAGCGAACA